rnacentral:rRNA from 1 species
UACGUAGGGUGCAAGCGUUGUCCGGAAUUAUUGGGCGUAAAGAGCUCGUAGGCGGCCUGUCACGUCGACUGUGAAAACCCAGGGCUCAACCCUGGGCCUGCAGUCGAUACGGGCAGGCUAGAGUAUGGUAGGGGAGACUGGAAUUCCUGGUGUAGCGGUGAAAUGCGCAGAUAUCAGGAGGAACACCGGUGGCGAAGGCGGGUCUCUGGGCCAUAACUGACGCUGAGGAGCGAAAGCGUGGGGAGCGAACAGG